rnacentral:rRNA from 1 species
GAAUUUUGGACAAUGGGCGAAAGCCUGAUCCAGCAAUGCCGCGUGCAGGAUGAAGGCCUUCGGGUUGUAAACUGCUUUUGUACGGAACGAAAAGCUUUUGGUUAAUACCCUGGAGGCAUGACGCUACCGUAAGAAUAAGCACCGGCUACAUACAUCACCGCUGCCGCGGGAAUACGUAGGGUGCAAGCGUUAAUCGGAAUUACUGGGCGUAAAGCGUGCGCAGGCGGUUUUGUAAGACAGAGGUGAAAUCCCCGGGCUCAACCUGGGGACUGCCUUUGGGACUGCAAGGCUAGAGUACGGCAGAGGGGGGUGGAAUUCCGCGUGUAGCAGUGAAAUGCGUAGAUAUGCGGAGGAACACCGAUGGCGAAGGCAACCCCCUGGGCCUGUACUGACGCUCAUGCACGAAAGCGUGGGGAGCAAACAGG